UACGAAUCGUCCAAACGUUGUUCGGAUUCACUGGGUUUAAAGGGCGCGUAGGCGGUGCGUUAAGUCGGCGGUGAAAUACUUCGGCUCAACCGGAGAAUUGCCGCUGAAACUAGCGUGCUCGAGGAAGGUAGAGGUGCGUGGAACUUCCGGUGGAGCGGUGAAAUGCGUUGAUAUCGGAAGGAACACCUGUGGCGAAAGCGAUGUACUGGACCUUUUCUGACGCUGAGGCGCGAAAGCCAGGGGAGCGAACGGG
rnacentral:rRNA from 1 species